CCCCUAUGGGCAUGAUGCCACUAGCUGUUGCUCUAACAUGGCAACUCAGCGCAAAUAUGCCAAAUGAAUUUCAACGAGGAAACAGUCAAUGGUUGUAUUCGAUUAACUUUUUAUUUAAAAGGUAUGGAUUUCAGCAAACAAAGAAAGCCAGAGAGGACAAAAAUAGGUACACGGUAAGGGUAAGGGUUUAAGAAUUUACAAUUUUGAAGUAUCGAUUGUACAGCGACUCGAAGAAAGUUGGAGCUUCACUCCAAAACCUCUAGGCUCCACUCAACUCCGCAGAAGAAAUAAGCGUGGAGUUGAGAUACUUGGCUAAUUUCUAAAUAGUCUGGACUGUGCAAUAUAACUGAUUUAUUAAUUUGUUAUGGAAAGGUUUGUGAUCGUGCGCAGCGCCUUACAUCAAGCUGACCCUUGUGAACAAGCAUCCAAACACUUUCUAGAACUGGAUACAACGUGAUAACAUCCUAACAAAGAGUUAUUUGUACAUCACCCAAGAAAUAAGAGCGACAACCUGAUUAAUACCGUACUUUAUUUUCCCUCUUUAGAAAAAAGCUAUUUCUGAACAUUUUCUACAUCAACCCGGGAGAGCACUUUGAUGCGUUUGGGCAUGGCCACGAUAAUCUCCACCCCUGCCCUUUUUCUCUUCCCCUUCGAGGUGAGAACUGUUUUGACGCUGGCGUCCUUCUGAACCACCAUGGCCUCACUCUGAGCCUGGAGAACGUCCAGUUUCUGCCUGAGCUCCUGUAGGUGGUCAAUGUCGUUGAUCCCACUCACAUUCUCCAUGAUGGAUUUGAGUUUGGCCACACACUCCCUCUGCAGUUCCUCCUUUUGCAGUUCCUCCCUCUCCCGCAGGCCCUGUGAAGCCUGUGGGGCCACCCACUGUGUGUGUAUGCUAUGCAGUUGUAACUGUGGAGUUUGAGGAGUUUGCACCAGUGGCACUGUUUCUUCAGGCCCAUCCCACUGAAGAGAGACUGGGGAAGCUGGGGAGAGAUGCAUUAGACCAUUGAGGGCUUCCUCUAUCUCCUCUGUUGUGGUGUGAGUGGUCUGUGAAUGCAGCCUGAGCAGAGGGUGGUCCCUGUAUUUGGGACACAGGUGCUCCCAGGUCCAGUUAGGCUCAGACCUGAAGACGUGACAGAAGUGUUCACAGGGCAGGCGCUGGUCCCUCCACACCUCACACUCACAGGAGGGCCAGGUGGACUCUGAACCGAAGCUGACCGUGUAGGACCGUGCUGCCGUGGUCUCUGCCCGACUCUUCACCCAGAAGGUGCCGUCGGCGGCGUCGCUGGCCUGCUCCACCACGAUGUCGGGGUCUUGCAGGGCCGCAGACAUGUUGUCCAUCACCAGGGCCACCACACUCCAAGGGCGAUGCCACAGGAACGGAGGCACAGUGGGGUUGAGGCUGUACUCGCCAGAGGACUGGCUGUUGAGGUCUGUGUACCUGGAGGUUCAGGGAGUGUAGCAGGUUUAGACUGACCAAACAUCAAAGCACUUACAUUAAAGGGGAAUUACACUCCAAAAUAAAAGUUUACAAAAGUAGUCAAAUGUCAAGAUGAGUCCACAUUCUACAUCUUAACCCCAAUGGAGAAGAUAAGCACUGUAAAUUAUAUGGUGUUUAUUUUCCAUAAAUUUUGCAGAUAUGUCAACAGAAGACCACUUGACAGCGAAUACUAUUCUAAAUGACAUUGAAUCCUAUUCCAAAACGAACUUACCUUUGGUGCAUCUGUGGGAAGUAGUCGUCAACAAGAAACUGCAGCAUUUGGCUCAGGGUGUCUUUUUUAUGGACCUUCAUGUUAUUAUGUGUGAAGAAGUCGCUCUGCAUCUCCAGACCUCCGUUUACCAUAGACACAAAGUUGACAAUAUCAACCCUCACAGCGUUCGCCCAUCUCUAAAUGAACAAAAACAAGAGCAUGUAGCUAACCUCUGUAUGCGCCAUCAUUAGACUAGGAUGCACAUUAUGGACCUAUAGUUAGCAUUAUGGAUCUAUAUCUAGAUACCGUAUCAUGGAUUCAGCUAGCAAAAACGUUCUACAGACUGUCUACAUACAGUAGGUGUGGUUUAAACAUGCUGUCUGCUUCAGGAUGAAAGCACCUCUAAGCACAGGUCUGAGAACUGCUUUCCAUCUAACCACCCUGACCUUCAUUAAUACGCAGGUGAAGACACAGCAGGUCCAGGACCUGACCCCAUUGCCCCUGUGAUUUCAUUCAUUGACAUGUGCACUACAAACCUUCUCCUCUGACAGCCACUUGUUAGUGAACCAGUUCUUGAAAAGUUGUCUCUUUUCCAACCAGAUGGGGCUCUGCUGUAGUAGUUCUACUGCCUCCUGGUGUUGCUUUCUCGUAAGGGAUCCAGCAAUGGCCUUCAUCAUAUCAAAGAUCCCCUCCUGGUUGGUGAUGGCUCGGGACCGGUUGCUCAGCCACUUGGUCCAGUUAGGCUCAGACCUGAAGACGUGACAGAAGUGUUCACAGGGCAGGCGCUGGUCCCUCCACACCUCACACUCACAGGAGGGCCAGGUGGACUCUGAACCGAAGCUGACCGUGUAGGACCGUGCUGCCGUGGUCUCUGCCCGACUCUUUACCCGGAAGGUGCCGUCGGCGGCGUCGCUGGCCUGCUCCACCACGAUGUCGGGGUCUUGCAGGGCCGCAGACAUGUUGUCCAUCACCAGGGCCACCACACUCCAAGGGCGAUGCCACAGGAACGGAGGCACAGUGGGGUUGAGGCUGUACUCGCCAGAGGACUGGCUGUUGAGGUCUGUGUACCUGGAGGUUCAGGGAGUGUAGCAGGUUUAGACUGACCAAACAUCACAGCACUUACAUUAAAGGGGAAUUACACUCCAAAAUAAAAGUUUACAAAAGUAGUCAAAUGUCAAGAUGAGUCCACAUCCUACAGCUUAACCCCAAUGGAGAAGAUAAACACCAUAUAAUUUACAGUGCUUAUCUUCCAUACAUUUUGCAGAUAUCGCAACAGAAGAC
rnacentral:lncRNA from 1 species